rnacentral:rRNA from 1 species
AACGAACGUUGGCGGCGUGGAUUAGGCAUGCAAGUCGAACGCGAAUCCCUGGGCAACUGGGGAGGAGAGUGGCGAAAGGGGCAGUAAGGCGUGGGUAACCUACCCUCCGGGCCGGGAUAGCUUCGGGAAACUGAAGGUAAUACCGGGCGACGCAGCGAGAUCGCAUGGUCUUGCUGCCAAAGGUCCGCCGCCGGGGGAGGGGCUCACGUGGUAUUAGCUAGACGGCGGGGUAACGGCCCACCGUGGCAAAGAUGCCUAGCAGGUGUGAGAGCACGACCUGCGCCACUGGCACUGAGACACUGGCCAGACACCUACGGGUGGCUGCAGUCGAGGAUCUUCGGCAAUGGGCGCAAGCCUGACCGAGCGACGCCGCGUGUGCGAUGAGGGCCUUCGGGUUGUAAAGCACUGUCGAGGGGGAGGAAGCCGCAAGGUUGACCUAUCCCUGGAGGAAGCACGGGCUAAGUUCGUG